GUGGUUUCCUCCUCCCCAACAGUGACAUCAAUGUUCAACUACAUGUUCAACUGUGUUAGCAUUUUAACUGCCUCCCCCUCCAGUGACUACAUGUCUCAUGACAGUAAGAGCUACACCAGUCUUACAUGCUAGGAAAGGAGAAAGUGUCCACUUACUUAGCCACUGGAUUCAUUUAAGGGAUCAUCAGCCCCCAGAACAGCUGAGAUUGCAGGACUACAAAAUCCAAGACAGGAGGUAAAAACAGUAUCAUCUAGGGAUCCAAACAUAUUGCAACAUUUACUAUCUUAGCAUCCCCAAGAGCUGAGCCUGGAAAGCAGCAAGUAUCCAGUGUCAGUUCUUUUGCAUUCCAUCCUGUUAUCUACCACAAGCACACUGCCUUCACUGGAAUACACGCCGCAGUUCUCACCAAGCUAGUCACCUGACAGCCAGACUCUAUUCUGCUGACACACGUUAUGUACUAAAAAGUAAAUUCUAGAAGAAUCUUUUAACUGCAAGUGAAAGUGAAUUAACUUAUCUCUACCUUAAAUAAAAUAUUAUGAUUGAAUGCUAUGGGG
rnacentral:lncRNA from 1 species